AAUAAGACUUGUGCUACUCACAGCACAUCUCCUGAAUGCAACUCANANACUUUUAAUUAAG
rnacentral:tRNA from 1 species